rnacentral:ncRNA from 1 species
GGGGAGUAUGGCUGCAAAGCCGAAACCUGAAGGAAUUGACGGAAGGGCACCACCAGGAGUGGAGCCUGCAGCCCAAUUUGACUCAACAUGGGAAACCUCACCCGGCCCGGACACGGACAGGAUUGACAGAUCGAUAGCUCCCUCUCGAUUCCGCGGGUGGUGGUGCAUGGCCGUUCCCAGUUGGUGGAGUGAUUUGUCUGAUCAAUUCUGGGCAUGCUAACUAGUUACGCGACCCCCGAGCGGUUGGUGUCCCUCAACUUCUCAGAGGGACAAGUGGCGUUCAGCCACCCGAGAUUGAGCAACGACAGGUCUGUGAUGCCCCCAGAUGUCCGGGGCUGCAUGCGCGCCACGCUGACUGGCUCAGCGUGUGCCCACCCCACGCCGGCAGGCGCGGGCAACCCGCUGAACCCCAUUCGUGAUGGGGAUCGGGGAUUGCAACUAUUCCCCAUGAACGAGGAAUUCCCAGUAAGUGCGGGUCAUACUUUCUUUUUUAAACAGGACUUUGGGUGGACA